rnacentral:rRNA from 1 species
UACGUAGGGGGCGAGCGUUGUCCGGAGUUACUGGGCGUAAAGGGCGCGCAGGCGGUCUGGUAAGUUUGGAGUGACAGUGCUCGGCUUAACUGAGCAAGGCCUUCGAAAACUAUCAGACUUGAGCACUCAAGAGGGACAUAGAAUUCCGGGUGGAGUGGUGAAAUGCGUAGAUAUCCGGAGGAAUACCAAAGGCGAAGGCAGUGUCCUGGGGAGUGUCUGACGCUCAGGCGCGAAAGCUAGGGAGCGAACAGG